AUUGAACGCUGGCGGCAUGCCUUACACAUGCAAGUCGAACGGUAACGGGCCUUCGGGUGCCGACGAGUGGCGAACGGGUGAGUAAUACAUCGGAACGUGCCCGAUCGUGGGGGAUAACGAGGCGAAAGCUUUGCUAAUACCGCAUACGAUCUAAGGAUGAAAGCAGGGGACCGCAAGGCCUUGCGCGGACGGAGCGGCCGAUGGCAGAUUAGGUAGUUGGUGGGAUAAAAGCUUACCAAGCCGACGAUCUGUAGCUGGUCUGAGAGGAUGAUCAGCCACACUGGGACUGAGACACGGCCCAGACUCCUACGGGAGGCAGCAGUGGGGAAUUUUGGACAAUGGGCGCAAGCCUGAUCCAGCCAUGCCGCGUGCAGGAUGAAGGCCUUCGGGUUGUAAACUGCUUUUGUACGGAACGAAAAGCCUUCUUUUAAUACAGGAGGGUCAUGACGGUACCGUAAGAAUAAGCACCGGCUAACUACGUG
rnacentral:rRNA from 1 species